GAACGCUGAAGCCCUGUGUGCUUGCACGGAGGUGGAUGAGUGGCGAACGGGUGAGUHACACGUGAUUNACCUGCCCCCGACUUCGGGAUAAGCCCGGGAAACUGGGUCUAAUACCGGAUAUGACCACGGCAGGCAUCAUUGAUGGUGGAAAGUUUUUUCGGUUGGGGAUGGGCUCGCGGCCUAUCAGUUUGUUGGUGAGGUAAUGGCUCACCAAGACGACGACGGGUAGCCGGCCUGAGAGGGCGACCGGCCACACUGGGACUGAGACACGGCCCAGACUCCUACGGGAGGCAGCAGUGGGGAAUAUUGCACAAUGGGGGAAACCCUGAUGCAGCGACGCAGCGUGCGGGAUGACGGCCUUCGGGUUGUAAACCGCUUUCAGCAGGGAAGAAGCCCUUCGGGGUGACGGUACCUGCAGAAGAAGUACCGGCUAACUACGUGCCAGCAGCCGCGGUAAUACGUAGGGUACAAGCGUUGUCCGGAAUUAUUGGGCGUAAAGAGCUCGUAGGUGGUUGGUCACGUCUGCUGUGGAAACGCAACGCUUAACGUUGCGCGUGCAGUGGGUACGGGCUGACUAGAGUGCAGUAGGGGAGUCUGGUCUUUCCUGGUGUAGCGUGAAAUGCGCAGAUAUCAGGAGGAA
rnacentral:rRNA from 1 species